AGAACCGUUAGAAUUGUCUCGAGUGGAAUUAAUUUGUCUUAAUUUAGCAGUUACAUAAGUAUUAUUGAAAUAUUCUAAAAUUGAUGAUGCCUUUUCAAGUACAUCAUUUCUCCAGCCACAUCACACAUGGGUAUAAAUGCUAAUGCGUUCAACUGUCGGUAAAAUAAAGAAAAUUUUGAUCUGUAAUCAUUUUCUAAUUUCAUUUUUGAAUGUGAUGAUGUGUUAUUUGGGUAAGAUGGAUUUUCCGUGUCGUUUUGUUCUGAUUACCGAACAAAACAACGGAACAUUAGCAGAGUUAUUAACACUUGGAAAUCACCGCGGGACAUCGCCUGUAUAUUGCAGUAUACACUGCUGUAGUUUAAAAAACUUACACGUCUAUUAUAAUUUAUAUACUUACUUAUAAUAGUAUGAGGGUACACCGGAUUGAUCGUUAUUUGGUACUGCAGC